GGCAAACAUAUCAUGGUAAAACUUGUAAGACUUAAAUACGGAUUAAGGGAAGCAGGGAUGCGACCCAUUCUAUAUGCCCCAACCAUCUCACUGCAGGUGUCAUCAAAUCUACCCUAUACAGGCGUUGAAAAGGUGGGCCUGGUCUAUGUUAGACAUUUUUGGACCUCAGCACCAAAAUAAAUACAAAUAUAUGUAAGUACUGAAAUUGGGCAGGCCAGGUAAGGGCAGACCCUAUACAAACUUAAAUCCAAAGCCAGCCUACGUUUGAG
rnacentral:misc_RNA from 1 species